CCCGACCUGAGGGCGUCUGGGGUGAUAGGCUUUAAAAGGUCCGCAGCGGGAGGUGAAAGAGGUGUUUAGGAUGACGAGAAAAACGUAUAAAGUAUUAUUUCACCUAACAGCGGGCAGGGAAAGACCUCACCUGUUACAGGAGGGCCUCCACCAGACAGCUGCUGCCCACUUCAGUGGCCUCCAGAGUGGAGCAGUCAAGAUGACCUGUGGAGUGCUGGAAGAACAUUCUAGAGCCUGUAUCCCUACUUAUUUUUUCUUUUUACAUCUGUUAUGUGUUUUAUAAUUUAUGUAAGAUUGACAUACCAUGCACAUGACCUUAAAAGGAAAUACACGAGGGUGUGCCCAAGCAUGUAAGCU